rnacentral:rRNA from 1 species
GACGUGGGAGCGCGAGCGUUUGUCCGGAUUUAUUGGGCGUAAAGAGCUCGUAGGCGGCUUGUCGCGUCGACUGUGAAAACCCGCGGCUCAACCGUGUGGCUUGCAGUUGAUACGGGCAGGCUAGAGUUCGGGAGAGGAGAGUGGAAUUCCCAGUGUAGAGGUGAAAUUCGUAGAUAUUGGGAAGAACACCGGUGGCGAAGGCGGCUCUCUGGACCGAUACUGACGCUGAGGUGGCGAAAAGCGUGGGGAGCAAACAGG